AUGCUGAGUGCAGUACCCGUGCAUGCGACAUCAAGUUACCGCGUCGUCAACGGAAUCGCCGCCGUUCUGUUUUCCCGGAUACUCGUUGAGUUCAGUUCUUAUGUGCCGUGGUUAAAGUUGCUGUGUUUGCUGUGAAAGAAAUUAGGGUUGAGGCCUAAGUUGCCGUUGAUUUCAGGCUGAGCAAAAAGAGUUCAGUUGACACAUGUGGGUUAUGGUUUUGCUUAUCAAGCUUUACCUUUUCAGAAACCGGAAGAAGAAGCAUUAAGAGGAGUUAUACUGCAUUUGGUUUAUAUAUUAUUGAAUUAAUUAGGUUAUUCUCUUCCCUCGUCUUUGUUAUUACAAUUUUGUAAGAGGGAUAGGAGUUGU